AAACAAACGAGCGUCAGGUGAUGAGUCAGAGCCAUUCAACAGCAAUUUAAGACGCUCUGCUGGAAGGACUGCCGCUGGGGCUGCAGCGGGAAGCAAAGGAGAACGCGAGCUGCCGGAACACGGUGCUAAUAUGGAAGACGUUAACUACUUGAUGACCAGGAGCAUGAAGCCCCCAGACCUACUGGCUCCUAAGGAUUGAUCAUGAUAACCCCUGUGACCCCGCCCCAUGACCUCACCAUCAACCAAUCAGAGAACAGUACAUGAACUGGAACUCCCCUUCCUCACCUUCCCUGUGAAAAGGCUUGCCUGAACCUCUUGGGGGGAGUUUGGGGGGGUUGAUCACAAGCUGCCUUGGACUCCUUGCUUGGUGCCCUGCAAACACUGCUGCACUUUCCUUCACCAACACUGUGUCAGUAGAUUGGCUUGACUGCUGGAGGGCAAGCAGAUCCAGGUUUGGUUCAAUAACCCAUCACUGUGUAAUAAAGUAUCCUUCUCAGAGCACUGAGAAGGUCUCAGUCUGCAGGACUGCUUCAGUGAACUUGCAUCAUUUCCACGGAUCAAUCUCUAGGUUCAGGUGUUAAAAGAAUAAAUAAAUCUUGACCUCUGUCACCUGCCACUGGAGAAGAAAGGAAGCUUAAUACUUGGUGACAGCAUUAUCAGCAUCAGUACCUUGUCCUGCAAAGGCGGUGCUAGUGGUAAAGAACCUGCCUGCCAAUGCGGGAGAUGUAAGAAAUGCGGGUUCAAUUCCUGGGUGGGAAAGAUCCACUGGAGGAGGGCAUGGCAACCCACUCCAGUAUUCUUGCCUGGAGAAUCCCAUGGACAGAGAAGCCUGGCGGGCUAUGGUUCACAGGGUCACAAAGAGUCGGACGUGACUGAAUCGACUGAGCACACAGAACCUGCAAAACUCAGCCAAAGAAAUCUUGCUCCCCCCACCAAGUUCCGUUGAAAGUGGGUGACUUAAUAUCAGGAAAAUGUAGUUUUGUGACCACAAGAGAAAUUGUUUCAACAGUGAAAUGUCAAAUUCAAAAAAUUAACUUCUAAAUUUUUUAAUGUAACCUUAUAAGAUAAUCAAAUUGUUUUUGAGGAUAUGUCAGAUUUUUUUUGUAACCCAUGAACUUGGUCUUUGAUAUCCUGCUUCAGCAUUAACCAGGUAUCAAUUUUAACACCCAGUCACACCCGUUCAGUGAAAAUGAAUAUUCCAUGCAUCUGUAGUCACUGAGGACUCUGAGUCUGUCAGACUGAGUCUUCACAGUUCUGAAU
ensembl:lncRNA